AAUGGAAUUGCUGGAUCAUAUGGGAAUUCUAUGUUUAACUUUCUGAGGUACUGCCAGGCUGCCUUCCACGGUGGCAGUACCAUUUUACAUUCCCACCAGCGAU
rnacentral:pre_miRNA from 1 species